GGCUAUGUAGCUCAGUUGGUUAGAGCACAUCACUCAUAAUGAUGGGGUCGCAAGUUCGAAUCUCGCCAUAGCCACCA
rnacentral:tRNA from 14 species